CAGGACUCACCUUGACUCAAACCUCAAGCUUAAGCUCCUCUUUUGGACUCAGGAUACCUUACCCAAUCUUUGAAAUCACUCUGUGCCUCAUCUGCCUGCCCUUCCGCUAUUGCACAUCAUCAGAAACCUUCAGAUCUCAGGUCAGCCAUCCCACACCGUCCAGCUCACUCUGGAUUCACGUCACCCCUCCCUCAUUGCUUACUCACUCCACCUGCAAUGUGACUGCUAAACUGCUACGUUCCAGUGUAUAUCAAUUCCCCCCUCUCAAUCCAUGUCAAGCUAGCCACGUAAACUAGGCCUCGCCACGUCAAGUCCUGUGUUUUAUUGCCUCUGUCCUUACUUAUCAUAUUUUGAGUUUAACCAAUAAACACCGUAAAACGUU